AAGGGGUGCCGAAGUUAUUUCUGAGGCUGAGAUUUAUACCCUCUGAACCUGAUACGGUUAAUGCCGUCGAAGGGAUUGUUU
rnacentral:ncRNA from 1 species